GCUGCAAGCUAGCGAUAGUGAGCGAAUCCCAAAAAGCGCGUCGUAGUCCGGAUCGGAGUCUGCAACUCGACUCCGUGAAGUCGGAAUCGCUAGUAAUCGCGAAUCAGAAUGUCGCGGUGAAUACGUUCCCGGGCCUUGUACACACCGCCCGUCACACCAUGGGAGUGGGUUGCACCAGAAGUAGAUAGCUUAACCUUCGGGAGGGCGUUUACCACGGUGUGAUUCAUGACUGGGGUGAAGUCGUAACAAGGUAACCCUAGGGGAACCUGGGGUUGGAUCACCUCCUUACCUUAA
rnacentral:rRNA from 1 species